rnacentral:rRNA from 1 species
GAGUUUGAUCCUGGCUCAGAUUGAACGCUGGCGGCAUGCCUUACACAUGCAAGUCGAACGGCAGCACGGGGGCAACCCUGGUGGCGAGUGGCGAACGGGUGAGUAAUACAUCGGAACGUGUCCUGUAGUGGGGGAUAGCCCGGCGAAAGCCGGAUUAAUACCGCAUACGAUCUGUGGAUGAAAGCGGGGGAUCCUUCGGGACCUCGCGCUACAGGGGCGGCCGAUGGCAGAUUAGCUAGUUGGUGGGGUAAAGGCCUACCAAGGCGACGAUCUGUAGCUGGUCUGAGAGGACGACCAGCCACACUGGGACUGAGACACGGCCCAGACUCCUACGGGAGGCAGCAGUGGGGAAUUUUGGACAAUGGGCGAAAGCCUGAUCCAGCAAUGCCGCGUGUGUGAAGAAGGCCUUCGGGUUGUAAAGCACUUUUAUCCGGAAAGAAAACCUCGUGGUUAAUACCCGUGGGGGAUGACGGUACCGGAAGAAUAAGCACCGGCUAACUACGUGCCAGCAGCCGCGGUAAUACG